AGCGCUCCGUCGCUACAUUCCUCGCGCCAAGGGGAUGUGACGCGCAAAAUUAAAAUGCCAGAGGGUCGCCCGGGCAGGAACCGGGUGACAACGAAGAACUCAGGAGAAAAAGGAUGACCAUACACGAAAGUCAUCAUAAAAU